rnacentral:rRNA from 1 species
AGCAGUAGCCACGGUAAUACGAAGGGUGCAAGCGUUACUCGGAAUUACUGGGCGUAAAGCGUGCGUAGGUGGUGGUUUAAGUCCGUUGUGAAAGCCCUGGGCUCAACCUGGGAAUUGCAGUGGAUACUGGGUCACUAGAGUGUGGUAGAGGAUAGUGGAAUUUCCGGUGUAGCAGUGAAAUGCGUAGAGAUCGGGAGGACCAUCAGUGGCGAAGGCGGCCAUCUGGGACAACACUGACGCUGAAGCACGAAAGCGUGGAGAGCAAACAGGAUUAGAUACCCCUGUAGUCCCUGUCUCUUAUAA